ACCUCUUUGCAUAAAGCUUCCUGUUCCUGCUCCACCCCUUAUCUGAGCAGCUAGUUAAUAGAUCUGUUGCUGACUAGAACUCUGAGACUAAGUUCCAGUUGCUGCUCAUUUUUCCUGUUGCCCUGACUUGUGCCUUAUUCCUGCUCUUUACCCUAACUCCAGUUAUUGACUAUGGCUUGACUCCUUGGUGUGACUCUGAGUCCAGUUUGACCCUUGGCAUGGCUUCUAACUCUGACUUCAGCUUUGAUCCCAAUGUGACUUCUGGUUACAACUCUGGUUUAAUCCCUGAGGUGGCUUCUAACUCUGAUCCUGGCUUGGCCCUGUGUGACUCUGACUCCGGUUUAACCCUUGCCAAGGCUUCUGACUCUUGCUGUGACCCUUGGUGUGACUACUGACCCUGACUCUACUUCCAGCUGUGACCAUUAGAUCAGACUGCCCACAUUACAGGUUCUGACAGUUCUGAACAACUUACACUGCAGUCUUGUCCUUUGCUGAGGAGGGAAGAAAGAACACAAUAGCUACUGUUGCAUUUUGGAGGUCUCUCUUUGGAUUUGGUGAUCAGUUCUUGGGAAAUUACUGAGGGACAAUUAAGUUUGUUCAGCUAAAGAUUUCUUUUGCCAUGUUACUAUAGCUAUUCAUGUAUUCCCAGCUCUCAGUGAAUACAGGGAAGAAAGGAUGUAUAUUCAGUUUCUAACAGUGUUUGUGUGUGACUUGGAACACUAUAGACUGUGUCAGAAUCAUAGAUUUCAUAUUAUUUUAAUUCCUCUUUGAUGUGCCAAAUUGUUAUGUGAAGUAUUAUUUUCAGCAUAGCCCUGUAUUUCUUUUAGCUCCUUCCUUUGACACUGUGAGGGACUCUACAUCCUCACCACCAGGCAGGGUUUUUUUUUCCCCACCACUGGAGUGCAACUAAUUUGUUUAUUGAGUUAUUUGUUCAUUUGAAAAUGACUUUUAAAAAUUUAGGUUAUAACUACUUUCUCUUUUAGCUGAUGAUAGAAAACAAAAAUGCAUCCAACCGAAUCUGUUACCUCAAAGAAACAGAGCACAUAAUUAGUUGUUACCUAAUAAAAGUAGGAGGUCAUACAUCAAAGGAACAGAACUUACACCCAUUCCUCAUCUUGAUUAGAAUUCUCAAAUUUACUGCAGUAUGCCCCUAUUUCCUGCUGGGUGUUCUUCUUCAUCAGUAACAAAUCCCUUUAGAAGUUGUUGAUAAUAAACACAUGGGGCUGAUUAAAUCUGUAAAACAAUUUGCUUAUUUGCAGUUUCAAUCCUGCUGUGGUUUCUUAUUCAUUCUUUGAAAGGUUUCCAUUUACCGUCUGGGAUUUCUGUGGCUGUGAAACUGAAAUACUUAACAAUCAACAAUGCAGGAGGAAAAUGAGUCACUGAGGAGAGACAAGAAUUUUUCAAUACCAAACUAAGGAUUCUGGGAAGAUCAAGAAGUCAUGCAACAUAUGGGUCUCCUCUGACGUGUGCUGUGUGUAUGGCAUUGGAGCACAAAGCAGGCCCAGCUGGGGAUCUCUGGAAAUGAGAAAUCUGCAGUGAAUGAAGUGACUUUUUCAAAGACGUCCCAGUAUGCUCUUUAUUCAGCCAAGAAAGGGGAAGAAGCCAAGAAAUUGGAGCUUGGGACUCCCCACAGGUGAAGACUACAGGCCAAGCUCUCCUUGCAGGCAUAUACAUGCCUGCAUGGCUUGAAAGUAAAUGGUACAUAAAAUAGAAAAAUCUGGUAUUGUGGUGGGUGCCUAUUUCUGUGCAACUCUGCAAAAAAGUGCUCUUUUUCUCACUGGAGAUUGUGAUGAAAUGUUUGUUUGGCUGCACGCUGUGGACAGAAGCUGUGUGCUUUCUCUAAUCCUGCUAAUAUUUGGACUGACAGACAGACAUUCACUAGGGCUUUGUGCUGCUGUAUACUUGUCACUGUCAUUCCAGGACAUCCCUGCCUCCAUUUAUCUAUCCCUUCCAUUCCCCUACGUAACUCACACUUGAGUGUCUUUUACAGUAGGUGGCUAGUCUGUGGUAGCAUUCUCCCAAAAGUAAUAUCGUCCCCUAAAAUUUAGCAAAAUUUCUGGAGGCCAAGGAAAUCUGUCACUUAAUUUACAUAGCCUAUUUGUUAAUAGCAACUAACCCUAAGCGUCCCCAGUUUUAGCAGCAGAAUAGGGGUGAUAGUGUCAGAGGCUCCAUCUACACCAGAAAGUUGUGCUGGUAAAAGUUCUGUGGACAGAAUGCCGGUGAAGGUGCUUUCACACUCUGCCACGUGUACCAGGACACUAUAGCCACAGUGCAUCUAAUGCAUCCGCAAAAGUUUGUUGUACUGUGGGUGGGCAUCCCCGUGCCCUUCACACCACCUCCAGGCACACUGCCUCUGGAGCAAUUGUCGCUGGAUUUUGCAGGAUGCCUCUGCAACUCUAACGCAAUUGUGGAGGGUUGGGGUCAAAAACCCAAAAUUCCCUCUGUUCCAGCCCAUAAGCAUGUGCUCUUGUGUGUCAUUUUCAAACUCCUGGCAGCAAACAUGGAUGCAAUGCAGAGCAACAACUCGCCUAUAAGGACAGGCCAUAUGAUGAUACCCAAUUUUUCAAACAUAACUAAUCCAAAGUGUCCCCAACUUAGCAGCAGUAAAGGGGUUAUAGUGCAGGAAGAACUCUUGCUGAGGGAACAUCUUCACUGCAGUCCUGGGUAUGAUUUGCAAUUCAUGGAGACGUACCCAUGCUAGCUGUACUCUAGCUAGAACAUGAGCCACCAGACACCCUCCCCCAAGGAAUGUCCUCAGGGUGCAGCCAAUGCUUAAGCCCAUGCUGCUGCAUUCUCCCUUCCAUUUUUAGCAAACUAGCUGGAGUACAGCUAGCAUGCGUAUGUCUACAUGAGCUGCUAAUCACGGCCAUGACUGCAGUGUAGACAUACCCUUAUAUGGCUAAAAGACAGGACUGAGAAUAAGGAGAUCUUAUUUUUAUUCCUGGUUCUUUCACAGACUUCCUGUCAAACCUUGAGCAAGUCACUGGAUUUCUGUGUGCCUUGGCAACCCUGUUUAUAGAAGAGGGUUAAUGCUGCUUUCCUCCCCCAUGGGAGGCUGUGCAGGCUGUGAAGUGGUAGUCCUUUAAUAUCUGAAAAGGAAUCCAGGGAGCUCAGAUGACAGAAUUGUAGCCAGAAAAUGCUAACCCACAUAAAAUGAGCUAUAAGGAAAUGGCAGAAGAGUUGCCAAGGACUGGCCCCUGGGAAAUUUUGAAAUCUAAAUACUCUCAGA